GUGAAACAUGAAUUGGCCUUACUCCCCCUUGAAUUCCAUCUACGGAUCUACCAAUUUGAUUGUCCAAUCUCCCCCUUAAUCUUUGAUCUAGUUUAUUAUACUCUCAAACACCGUGUCCGAACCUGGGCCUAUUCACAUAGCCAUCCCUAUUCCAUCGAGAGCCACUUUGUCGUAGACUGCGCGCACCUUGCUCCAUCAAGAGUCACCUUGGAUGUUUCCCGCUCUAUCAAGAGUCUCUUGCAAGCCCAUGACAUCAGUGUGUUGCACCAAGAGAGUCCGUCGAGAGUUUGCCCAUAGAUCACUAACCACAGCUCAGAUAACACUUGUUAAGGGAGAAUCGUCUUCAAUUGGUCCGCCCACUCGCUCGCGUAUGGCCCAAUCUGUUGGGAGAUAAAUCACAUAGGUCCACAUUCAUAUCACCUUGGCCCCAAUAUAUUGUAUAUAACUUAUACUCACUUAAAAGCUGAAGUCUUGCAACUGGUGAAUCCAUCCAAUGUAUAUUAAUGUAUAUUAAGAGCCAACUCCUUUUCUACUUAUCCGACGUGGGACUUUAUUCUUCACACAUGUCCUCAACAAAAUUCGACAUAAGAAUCAGUCAACAUGGCGUCAUGUAUGGGACUUAAAAUUAGACGGAAAUUUUGGAUGGCAGACGAGCGGAGGGAGCGGGUCAACGUGCUUUCAACAGUGCAGCUUCAAAAGGAGAUGCAGAUUAGAUUACAAUUGAUAAUAACAAUCAAAACAUUAUGCUUUUCUAAGCAUAAGAAUAGUUAGGAUCAAAAGAGUCAAUACAACAAAAGGAGAAGUUUUUACAAAAUGAGGAAAAAAGCCAAAUAAAGAAAGUAAAACUAAAUAGAGUACAACACUCGCUCCUAAGGCUGCAGCCAUGGGCAAAGCUACAUGGAGCUCAGUGAACCCACCCAACUUUGGAAUUUGUUUAGGAUAAUGGAGUGUUAGGUAAAAAAUUUGUGAGGUUUCUAUGAAUUGACAUCACAAAGAUUGUUAAAAAAUAAACGUGAUGGUGUCAUUUGUUUGAACAAUUACAACUUAGUUUAGAACCACUCCUCUUUUUGAGCUUGGGAUUUUUAGGUGUCUACAAGAUUUAUUCUUUUCCCUUCAUGUGAAGACUCUUUGUCACUUCUCUCACUCUUUUUGUUUGAUCAACUAAAACAUGCACAAUCUCACUCUUAAGCUUUGUUGAGUCCUUUCUUGGUCACAGAUCAAAUGUUUCGAUAAUAUGAUAGAUUGAAGCCUUAAGGAUAACCAUUGUAAAAUCCUCCACAUAAAUCAAACAUUCCACUAAGAAAUGGAAAAAAUGACCUUGGGCACUCAUCGGAGGCAAAAA
rnacentral:lncRNA from 1 species